rnacentral:rRNA from 1 species
GACGAACGCUGGCGGCGUGCCUAAUACAUGCAAGUAGAACGCUGAAGGAGGAGCUUGCUUCUCUGGAUGAGUUGCGAACGGGUGAGUAGCGCGUAGGUAACCUGCCUGGUAGCGGGGGAUAACUAUUGGAAACGAUAGCUAAUACCGCAUAAUAGUAGAUGUUGCAUGACAUUUGCUUAAAAGGUGCAAUUGCAUCACUACCAGAUGGACCUGCGUUGUAUUAGCUAGUUGGUGGGGUAACGGCUCACCAAGGCGACGAUGCAUAGCCGACCUGAGAGGGUGAUCGGCCACACUGGGACUGAGACACGGCCCAGACUCCUACGGGAGGCAGCAGUAGGGAAUCUUCGGCAAUGGACGGAAGUCUGACCGAGCAACGCCGCGGGAGUGAAGAAGGUUGUCGGAUCGUAAAGCUCUGUUGUAAGAGAAGAACGAGUGUGAGAGUGGAAAGUUCACACUGUGACGGUAGCUUACCAGAAAGGGACGGCUAACUACGUG